CGUGCGUUAUGCCGGCGGGACGGCGGCUGAGCUUGCGCGCCCGUAGCUGGGCUCUUGGAGGUGGGAAAAAGCCUAUGAGUUUUGAAGAUGUAUGAAGGUCAUUGUGACAAAUGUUUUCCAAAAACCUAUAGAAGAUGGCAGUGAAAAAGCUGGGACCACCACUGCGUGCAUUAAGCAUAUAGGUAGCUGCAGAGGAGUGUGCUUCAGCUGCGGUUUUUAAAAAUAUUUCUUCAUUGCCUCAAGUGUGGCAUGAACUAUUUUGGAGGAAGGAAUGAAGACUGUUCAAGAAAACAGAUGAACAGAAAUAAGUGAUGAAAGUGAAUGUUUUGCUUGAUAUUAUUAACAUCACAAUAAAUUAUGU